CCCCGCAAGGGGAGUGGCAGACGGGUGAGUAACGCGUGGGAACAUACCCUUUCCUGCGGAAUAGCUCCGGGAAACUGGAAUUAAUACCGCAUACGCCCUACGGGGGAAAGAUUUAUCGGGGAAGGAUUGGCCCGCGUUGGAUUAGCUAGUUGGUGGGGUAAAGGCCUACCAAGGCGACGAUCCAUAGCUGGUCUGAGAGGAUGAUCAGCCACAUUGGGACUGAGACACGGCCCAAACUCCUACGGGAGGCAGCAGUGGGGAAUAUUGGACAAUGGGCGCAAGCCUGAUCCAGCCAUGCCGCGUGAGUGAUGAAGGCCUUAGGGUUGUAAAGCUCUUUCACCGGAGAAGAUAAUGACGGUAUCCGGAGAAGAAGCCCCGGCUAACUUCGUGCCAGCAGCCGCGGUAAUACGAAGGGGGCUAGCGUUGUUCGGAAUUACUGGGCGUAAAGCGCACGUAGGCGGAUAUUUAAGUCAGGGGUGAAAUCCCAGAGCUCAACUCUGGAACUGCCUUUGAUACUGGGUAUCUUGAGUAUGGAAGAGGUAAGUGGAAUUCCGAGUGUAGAGGUGAAAUUCGUAGAUAUUCGGA
rnacentral:rRNA from 1 species